GUAACAUUUAAAACAUGGUAUGCUCUUCAUAGACUGUUAGCACACUGCAGGUCAGAGGACAGCAACAGUAACAUUUAAAACAUGGUAAAGUGAUGCUCUUCAUAGACUGUUAGCACACUGCAGGCCAGAGGACAGCAACAGUAACAUUUAAAACAUGGUAAAGUGAUGCUCUUCAUAGACUGUUAGCACACUGCAGGUCAGAGGACAGCAACAGUAACAUUUAAAACAUGGUAUGCUCUUCAUAGACUGUUAGCACACUGCAGGCCAGAAGACAGCAACAGUAACAUUUAAAACAUGGUAUGCUCUUCAUAGACUGUUAGCACACUGCAGGCCAGAGGACAGCAACAGUAACAUUUAAAACAUGGUAAAGUGAUGCUCUUCAUAGACUGUUAGCACACUGCAGGUCAGAGGACAGCAACAGUAACAUUUAAAACAUGGUAUGCUCUUCAUAGACUGUUAGCACACUGCAGGCCAGAGGACAGCAACAGUAACAUUUAAAACAUGGUAUGCUCUUCAUAGACUGUUAGCACACUGCAGGCCAGAGGACAGCAACAGUAACAUUUAAAACAUGGUAUGCUCUUCAUAGACUGUUAGCACACUGCAGGCCAGAGGACAGCAACAGUAACAUUUAAAACAUGGUAUGCUCUUCAUAGACUGUUAGCA